rnacentral:misc_RNA from 1 species
AAAGGAUGUCACUUGUGGCAUACCCCAUCCGUGUCUAUAUACUCUUGUUGCUUUGGCAGGCCGUGGUCUUGACCCUGUGGGCUUUAUGCCUGCAAGUGCCCGCCGGAGGACCCAAACUCUUGUUUUAAACCAUGUUUUACUCUGAGUGGCGAAAGCAAAAAAAUAAAUCAAAACUUUUAACAACGGAUCUCUUGGCUCU